GUGGUAUCAGCUGUUUCUGUUUGACCCAUUUGCUUGUGUUUAAAUAAUUUGAACAUGAGAAGCUAUGCUUGGUGUUUGCUACGUAAUACAUCAAUGGAGGAAUUGAGUUUGCCUAAUGAUUGAAAUCAGUUUCAGUUUCAUACUUAGGUUUUGACUUUGUGGUCUUUUAUUAGUUAAUUUUUGACAUUUUCUUCAUUUAUUGAAUUUUUUUGACCUGGAUAGCGUUACUGCUAAGACUGCAGCAGCAGCAGCAGCAAAGAUUAUAUUGACACUUGCGAAGCACUCAUCUGCUCCCAUUAUAACCACUGAACACCGGGAAGAUGUGAAAUUUCAGAACUAGUUGGGUGGACAUUCAUCCAGGAAGAAGUCUACUGAUUCUAAAACAAUUCUGGAUCCUUCUCUUUUGAAAGUUUCUGAGGGAGACGCUGAUGCACUGCAAGCGGAGGUUAAGGCUAUUAAUAAGCAGAACGCAGGAGUCCUGUUGUCGAAGGACCCAAGUAACAGAAACCUUCACAUGGGCACAAAGUUUUACUAGUAUUAGACAUUUAGUGUUGUCCUUUAGUUCAAAGCAGUGAACUGGUUCUUUUGUAAACCGGCAACCCAGAGUGCUGCAGCAGCAAUGAUCUGCCUGAAAAUCCCCCUCCCACCUCAGAAUGGUGCCCUGGUUCUCGCAUAGCUCCUUUCCCCUAUAAAUUUGAUUGUUUGGUUAAAUAUUCCCCCAACUCUGUUUUAGCAUUCCAAUACCUCUUUCUAGGUUAGAAGAUACGCUUAUUGAUCUUUAUUUGUCUGGUUAUUCCAACUUAGAAGCCAAUGCUGCUGAUGAUAUUGAUAUGACAGGCCUUCCCGAACACACAUGUUUUGGAGCUGAUGGUUUGUUCUGGAUUCUCAUAUGUGUUUUUUAGAUAAACGAUUGCUGUGGUUGGAGCAGGAAAAAAUGGGUUUGUUUGGUGGAGUUGCGGGGAACAAUGAUAGUCGCGAGCUCAAUGAAGGCGAAUUGAUUUCGGAUGACCAUGAUGUUGCAGUUAAAUCAAGUGAAAUUAUUUCUGAUGAAGGUGCUUCAUGGGAUGAAGAGAACUGGCAAGCUCAAUACUAAUCGUGAUACUGAUUCGCUGCCAGGCUCUACAGAAGAAGCUGCAGCAGAGGCCCUGCUAUUUAUGCCAAUAUUUUUUUGGAAAGCAUGGGCUGGAAGGAGGGGGAGACACUUGGCAAAAGUACAAAGGGAUUAGCUGAACAUAUUCAAGCACACAGCAACAUUAGUAAUGCUUGAGGCAGGCUUUGAGGAUGUGGUGAGGGAGGCAGUGCAGAGGAAAGAACCUGUUGUUCAGCACCUGGUGCAAGCAAGCACAUGUCACUGAACCAAAGCCAAGGGUACCUGUUACGCAUUCACAUGGGAUUUUCUACCCAAGUCAAUUAUUCUUGAAUCAAAUAUUGGUUUUCGCAAAAUUUGAUUACAUGAAUGCAAUUCUGUCCAUUUU